rnacentral:misc_RNA from 1 species
AAAACGCGAAAUGUGUUAUGACAUGCACUCUUUGAGAAUCAUUUAAUUUUUGAACGCACCUUGUACCGAGUCUAUGAUUUGGUAUGAUUGUUUGAGAAUGGGAAAAAUAUCGGCAAUGUGCUGGAGAUGGGAUGUACAAUGUAUGUUGUGAUCCUGAAAGCAAUGCAUAUCACAGAUGUAUCCAAUGUCUUGGGAUAAUUCCUUCGAGCCAAUGGAACAUCAGUGGCAAGAGCGGUUAAUGUUACUGCCCACUUAUAACCCCCAUCUCAAAUCAAUCAUGAACACCCGCUGAACUUAA